rnacentral:rRNA from 1 species
UACAGAGGUCUCAAGCGUUGUUCGGAUUCAUUGGGCGUAAAGGGUGCGUAGGCGGCGCGGUAAGUCGGGUGUGAAAUCUUGGAGCUUAACUCCGAAACUGCAUUCGAUACUGCCGUGCUUGAGGACUGGAGAGGAGACUGGAAUUUACGGUGUAGCGGUGAAAUGCGUAGAGAUGUGGAGGAAUACCGAUGGCGAAGGCAGCCCCCUGGGCCAAUACUGACGCUCAUGCACGAAAGCGUGGGGAGCAAACAGG